rnacentral:rRNA from 1 species
UACGAAGGGUGCAAGCGUUAUUCGGAAUCGCUGGGCUUAAAGGGCGCGUAGGCGGGCGAUCAAGUCAGGGGUGAAAGCCCCCAGCUCAACUGGGGAAGUGCCUCUGAUACUGGUCGCCUCGAGGGAGGUAGGGGCGUGCGGAACUUCCGGUGGAGCGGUGAAAUGCGUAGAUAUCGGAAGGAACGUCGGUGGCGAAAGCGGCGCGCUGGACCUCUUCUGACGCUGAGGCGCGAAAGCCAGGGGAGCGAACGGG